AGAGGAGAGGAGGAGCAGGAGCAGGAGCAGGGGCAGUGGAAGACGGUGCUUUCACACUGGAGUUAACCCAGCAGCCCCAAAGGAUGAAGCAUUGUGAACUGGGAAAAGGGAGGCAGCGUAAUGGUAAACUGAGGCAUUCUAGAAUGCUGGCAGCAUUUGCUCUUACAGGCGAUGUGUUAACUAAGGUCACUAGAGGUGAAUCAAUAUUUGUUCUUUUUAAUACAUUUAUAUGUAAAAAGUGACAAGAACUGGUUGUGACCUUGUCCUGUCUCUCCAUCACUGGCACACAAGAAGGCCCACCUAUCACGAUUCCUCACCUCAAACUAUCUGGCAGUUGCUGCUGGAACUGUAGGCAUUACACUGCUGAGUGAAAAAUAAUUUUCUAAAGGAGUUGUCUUUUGUCCUAUAGAAGGACAACAAAUGCUACAACUUGAUUUUGAGGGUGAAUCUAACUUUGGAUAAAGUCACUUUUUCCUUUCCUAAACAUUUCUAACAAUUUUAACAACAGGUCAUUUUUAUACAUAGUAGAUUCUUCAUAAAUAAUCCAGAACCAGUAACCACAUGCAGCCUGCAGGGGUCCAGAAUCACUGAUUGGAUAUACCAAGUGUUGACCGAAGCUGCCCUUUCUGAGACAGCCUGUCCUCCUUGGCCUGUGGACCUUUGUGACCCUGCAGUGGGGGUAUAGUGAGGCCUUUCUUCUGGAGACGGAACGACAAGCUUCUAAUCCCAGCUCUGUCACGUUCCUACUGGGCGACCUGGCAGGUACUCGACCUCUCUGACUUGAGGGGAUAUGCACAUUUCUUUAAGAAUGCAUGGAGUGAAUGAAAAUAACAUGGGGGUAUGAACCACAGAGUGAACAUGUACCACAAACAACUCUUGUUGAAAUAUACAGUCCCGGGAAAUGUCACCGUCUUCAUUUACUAAAGUGUGAUGGAGAGGGGGAUUGCUGAACAAUCCCAGGGACAGACGUCAUCAUGGAAUGUCAGAGACGCCAAGGUAAAACCCAAUACUAUGUGGCUACUUUUCAAACCUAUUUGUCAUCUCAAUGCAGGUCUUUAAAAAAUCUGUGUUGGUGUGACAGAGAAUGCCCCUUUGAACAGCGUUUUUGAUCUGUUUUAAAAAACAGACUUCUUUGAGUAUCACUGGGAAACUCAGGGACCCCAGGUAAGAAAUCCCUGCUUUAGAGAAUGAUGGAUGGUAAGGGUAUGUUGGAAGAGAAGCUGCAAAAGGAAUUUCCAGAUGUGUUCUAUCAGAAGUUAAGAAAGAAUAAAUAAAAGGAGUAAAAACUAUUUCAUGUAACAUUUCCUAGAGAGCAAGACAAUCUUACCUGUUAACUGUUUGUUACAAAGCAUUUUCUGAAAAAUCAUAGUGCAACCUAAAUAGCUUCUUAAAAAUCCAAAUUAUGGAGACCAGAUGAUGCUACAUGCUUGCUACUGGGUAAAGACAACAUCUAAAGUCAUUAAAAAAUGUUAUUUGAAUACCUGAGGCAGGCAAUUCUAUCAGUCCUACCUCAAUAGCUUAAACUAAAAAUGAAACAUUUACAGAUGUGUUAAUUUGGGUAGUUAAAAAAGAAGAUCAAUUUAUUAUCUCACAUAAAAUUUACUAGGAUAGUCAAUCAGACAGCAUCAAUAGGUUUACCAAGACACUAAAAUUAUAUUCUAAGAUAUGUUUAUAAAAUGUAGACGCUCAAGACCUUUGUUCAAAUAAAUGUAAUAAAAUUACAUUUCUUAGAAUUAAGAAAAGAAAGAUAUUAAAGCAGUUAAAUAAUGCUUUUGACUUCUGAAAUAUAAUUCAACAACACAUGCAAAUUUUGUAUCUCUUUGUGCUAAGCAUGGGGAAACAGCAGAGGGCAAAACUGAUUACUGAAUUAUGCAGAGUCCUUCUGUGGACCUAAUUAAUUUUAGUUUUCCGAGAUUUUCUUCUUAUAGGUAAAAUAAUAGGAAUAUGAUCAAUCAAUGACAGUAAAUAUGCACACAUGUGUAAAACAUCAAUGGCAACCCAGGAAAAACAUUAAUUUUCUUAAAAAAUUUUGGAAUAUUGAAACAGGAAUUUAAUCUUGGAGUAAUAUGGAAGAUGUUCAAGGCAGAAACAUAAUACUUCUAACACAAGAGCAUUUACUAACAGAAGAGCAAAAUACUUCUAACGGAAAAGCAUUUAGUUUCUUCUUAUAUUUUACAUUGGUUUCUAUGGGUGCUCCCUUCUCAGAGUUUCUUCUCUAAACUGUUCAUUAUUAUUAUUUUGUUUCUAGUUUUAUUGAAAUGAAAUCAUUAUCUCUACGAGUAUCGACUCUCCUAAAUUCAUUGCAGCAUUAUUCACAAUAGUCAAGACAUGAAAACAACCUAAAUAUCCAUUGACAGAUGAAUGGA
rnacentral:lncRNA from 1 species